GACGAACGCUGGCGGCGUGCUUAACACAUGCAAGUCGAACGGAAAGGCCCUGCUUUUGUGGGGUGCUCGAGUGGCGAACGGGUGAGUAACACGUGAGUAACCUGCCCUUGACUUUGGGAUAACUUCAGGAAACUGGGGCUAAUACCGGAUAGGAGCUCCUGCUGCAUGGUGGGGGUUGGAAAGUUUCGGCGGUUGGGGAUGGACUCGCGGCUUAUCAGCUUGUUGGUGGGGUAGUGGCUUACCAAGGCUUUGACGGGUAGCCGGCCUGAGAGGGUGACCGGCCACAUUGGGACUGAGAUACGGCCCUGACUCUUACGGGAGGCAGCAGUGGGGAAUAUUGCACAAUGGGCGGAAGCCUGAUGCAGCAACGCCGCGUGCGGGAUGACGGCCUUCGGGUUGUAAACCGCUUUCGCCUGUGACGAAGCGUGAGUGACGGUAAUGGGUAAAGAAGCACCGGCUAACUACGUG
rnacentral:rRNA from 1 species